AUCUCAGCUUGGGGAUUGUUUCCCUUGGAGUGUUUGGUGAGCCCUGUCCUUGGAAAGGGACUCAACAGCACUGGGAAACUUGAACUUCACCACAGAAAAUAUGGAAACGGAAGCUGACAGAUUCACAUAAUGAUCCAAGUCAGUGUUGUUUCUGCUUGAGCAGACAAUUUUGAUUUAAAGGAGGAUCUGGCAAUACAUCACUAUCAAUUGCAGGCAACAGAUUUCACCCCCUGCAGGAACAGAAAAAUUAAAUCACUUAUUUUAUGGAAGGAUGCUUGGUGAGUGCUGGAGAAUUGCUCAUCCAUUCCUCCCAGCAUUGCUUGUGGGGUUUCUGCCAUGAGAAAUCUGCCACACGCUUGGAUUCUUCGGUGUCAUAUGUAUGUGCAUGAACAAUGUCUGUUUUCAUCUCAGUGAUGACUACAGAUGAAUUCCUCAGAAGCUCAGACUGGACAGCUAUGCAUUUAUUUGAAUGAAAAAAAAAUUAAUAGAACAAGUGUUUGUUAUUAGCUGCAUGCUGUUUCAGUGAGGCCCAUCUUUCUUGUGCUCUCCUCUCCUCUUUUUCCAAGUUGAACAGAAUUACCCUUCCUAAUUUCUUCCUUGUCUUACCACAGCCCAUUAUGGCAAGAAUGUACGCUUCUCUAAACUUGUCUAUCUCUCGGUCUUCCCCUUUCUCCCAUUGCUUAUACAGAGGUCCAGUGCCAAUACUGAGAAAACAGAAGUAUGCUUUUGUAAUUGUAUAGCAUUCAUUAGUUUUUAUUCUACGAUAUUUAUGCUUGCAAGAGAAAUGAGGAAAAGGUGAUUAAAUAAAAGAAAGGUAGUGCUGAAAAUAGUAAUGAUGAAGAGUUUUCACAGGUGCAGUGCAACAAAACUGUUUGCAUGCUCUAGUUGGAUUCAAGCUCUAAUAGCCCUAAUCUCCAGACUCUGCUGCUGCUAACUGGUUGAACUGAUACAAUUCUUUCAUCUUGUAGGAGCCAGUCUGUCCUCUGUUUGUUUGUUUGUGUAGGUCUUUGUAAUCCAGCUUCAGCUGUGACUUGGUUUUAAAGCCAAGAAUUUCCCAAAUAUCAGGUUGGUUGGGAGAGGCUCUAUUACAAGGAGUGGCGUGUCAUUCCUAGUCAGUUCUUCAUGGUCUCUCCAAUUUUCCACCACCUUUUUUGGCUGUGGAUUUCAGACCAUUUGUGAUUUCUCUGUGCCUCACAGCUGUGUGUGUGUUGUGUACUUCAUUCUGUAGAAGCUAAAAGUCCUGGGCCUCUUUGGGAGCAUAAGCUGGAGCAAACUUUAUUCACGUUGGUUCAUUUCUCCUCUUGUUCCUUCGACUGGCUGGCUGUGCUGAUUUUACUGCAUUCCAGCUUCUGGUUCCAGGGGCAUGCAUUUUGGCCUGAACUUCAUUGUUAUGCCAGAAUGACCUUUUCAGUCAAUAGCAGGUAGUAACUUCUGCUUAAAAACAGUUGCUGGAAACACAGUAUAGCAAUUCAGAACAGGAAACGGUUUUCUGUUACUAGAUAAGGUGGGGGUACUUGUGCCUGGACAGCUUUGCAAGUGCUGGGUGUUGCACGAUCUCUCUCCAUCACUACUGAAAGCUCUUGCCAUUUUCUGAAUGUAGCAGCAUCACCUUUUACUUCAGAAGGUAACGUUUACUGGCAGGAACUAAUGCAAUUAUUUGGAUUAUCUUCUGUUCUACAUCUGGAGAAGUAGGUGGUGACAAGGGUAUCAGUGCUUCUGCAUGAGAAGUCUUACCCUUCUCCAUAGCUCUUGAAAGGCAAAUAUACAUCUGUUCUGCUGCUUUCUAUGGACUGGUGACUUGUCCAGUGUUUCUAUUCUUGGUUGUAAUCUCUGCUGAUCAGACAGAAACUGAUGUCCAUAAUGAGUUGAUUAAACCCCCCCAGUAUCACAGCUUAACCACUGACAUUAUAAAAGUAUAUUACAUAUGUAAAAUGACUUGAGGUAGAAAAAAAUGCUAUUGUUCAUUCAGAGCAAACAAUUUAGCAAUAUAUGAAUGGGAUUUUUGAAUUCUUUGUUUUGAUCUUCUGCUAGCUAGGGGCCAGGAACACUUGAGGGGUAAGAAACUGUAUGGCUGAGUUUAUUAUUCAGUCUACAGUUUGAGUGGAAAAAUCUCACAGUUCAUUGCUGUCUUUGAAUAUUAUUAUAACUGUUUCAUUUUUUUCCUGGUAUUUUAUAGCCCUUGCUUUUAGCUGAUAAUGUAAUUUAGUUUUGUUCAUUCUCAUUAGAGAGUGCUCAGGGAUGCAUUUCUUAAGGGAGAUUUACAAAUGUGAAUGAAUAAUUUGUUGAGAAGAAGGAUGUCACUGAGCACAUGGAAUCUGGUCUGUUCUAACAGUUCUGAAGGAUAUGUGUGUAUGACAACUUGCACACACUUUCACUGUCUCUGUCUUCUGCUAGAUGUUAAAGAUUUCCGAAGAACUAAACCAUGCAAGUCACAGAACAUCCAUUUCUAUGGCAGCACAGAGCAGUGUGCACCACAUUUGUAUAAUCACUUCCUGGUAAGCUGUUUGCAGAGGCAGAUGAGGCUACAGCAAAACAGCUGUGCCUUUCUAUCAGAAGUUGACUCAAAACUUGUUUUCCAUCCCCAACAUACAUUCUUCCUAAAAGGAUGAGCCUUUUGCAUGCAGUAUCUCCUCUAUUUCCCUCUUCCAUUAUAUGUGAUUCCAGCAAUAGGAAAUAUUCCAAUGUAACGGUAACUGUUUCCUGAGACCUAGUGUGGAUGCAGUCCAGGAAAUGGUUUUUGAUUUUCAUAUGAACAAACUAAAAAUAAGACUGAAGUUUUAAGGAGCAGAAAUAAUUUCUGGGUGAAAAUGGAUCCCAUGAAGAGUGCAGUAGUGGAGCCCAGCCACCAAUUACAGCUGGUUUCAUGUUCUGACAGAUAAGUGCAUCAUCUUGGAGCAUCUAAGCAAUGGCCUCACAGUCAACUUUGAGGGGUUAUUUUGUUAAUACAAGCUCAUUGCAGUUUCUGCAGGAAACCCAAAUGAACUGCAUUGUGUCAUAUAGCACAGAGCUUGUAUUCUUCUGUUUGUUCCCCUUUUGGUAAGGAAGGCAAAGUCUGUAAUGUCUAGCAGAGCAAUUGGGAUGUAUAUUAGUUGUGGAUUAGGAAUGCUGUAUUUUUAUUUGCAUGAAGAUAUGAAAAUAAUUGUUCCAUUUGUUGUUUUUAAAAAUAACAUCAU
ensembl:lncRNA